rnacentral:rRNA from 1 species
UACAGAGGUCUCAAGCGUUGUUCGGAUUCAUUGGGCGUAAAGGGAGCGUAGGCGGCGCGGUAAGUCAGAUGUGAAAUCCCGGGGCUCAACCCCGGAACUGCAUCCGAUACUGCCGUGCUAGAGGAUUGGAGAGGUAGCUGGAAUUCUUGGUGUAGCAGUGAAAUGCGUGGAGAUCAAGAGGAACACUCGUGGCGAAAGCGAGCUACUGGACAAUAUCUGACGCUGAGGCUCGAAGGCCAGGGUAGCGAAAGGG